CCGUUCCUUCCCACAGUCCCCGGCCCCAAAAAGGCUGUUCUUCCCCGUAGCGCUCGGCCCUGCAGCUCCAGCCCCUCCUGGGCUCCAUCUCUUCAUCCAGGGCUCCCGCCCUGCCUUUGUGAGGCCUCAGAUCCAUCAGGGCCCUAACUGGGAGUCACAGAGUUCAUUUCAUCCCAUAGACAGCCGUUUCCACAGCAAGACACAGAGGACCUUCAUCCUGCACAGCUCUUGUCUUCAGCAUCUCCUCAGGGCCUGAAAUGAGGUACAGGUGUGAGCAGAAAGCAGUUACCAACCCCUACUGAUGCCCUAGGCAUUGCCUCCUUAAUUUAAGGCCAGCCUCAGCCCUAUGCCCUGUUUCCUUAUGUGGGAAAAGCAACUGAAUAUCAUCAGAAAGAAAACUGUGUUAUUCAGGAAGUUAUGAUGGUAACGUAAGGGUAAGGAUUUGUGGGAGGGGUGCUAUAUGAAUUACGAGCUUAAAUGAAUCACGAGUCUUUGGUACAGCCUGAAGUGGGCUGCAGUGUUGUGAAACUGGGAAUGUGCGUGUAAAUAGUUUCAAGCUCACUGUAAUGAAGUUUAGCUUCCAAAUGUUGCGUAGGCUUUUUUUUUUUUUCUGAAAGUCUUCCUCUAGAAGCCUUGUUUUAAAAAAAAAAAAAAAA